AUACGUAGGUGGCGAGCGUUAUCCGGAAUUAUUGGGCGUAAAGGGUGCGUAGGUGGUUUCUUAAGUCGGAUGUGAAAUGUAAGGGCUCAACCCUUAACGUGCAUCUGAUACUGGCAGACUUGAGUGCGGAAGAGGCAAGUGGAAUUCCUAGUGUAGCGGUGAAAUGCGUAGAUAUUAGGAAGAACACCAGUGGCGAAGGCGCUUCUCUGGACUGUAACUGACGCUGAGGCUCGAAAGCAUGGGUAGC
rnacentral:rRNA from 1 species